GGCUCUGUGGUGCAAUGGAUAGCGCAUUGGACUUCUUAUUCAAAGGUUGUGGGUUCAAAUCCCACCAGAGUCG
rnacentral:tRNA from 1 species